GAUGAACGCUGGCGGCGUGCCUAAUACAUGCAAGUCGAGCGAACAGACGAGGAGCUUGCUCCUCUGACGUUAGCGGCGGACGGGUGAGUAACACGUGGAUAACCUACCUAUAAGACUGGGAUAACUUCGGGAAACCGGAGCUAAUACCGGAUAAUAUAUUGAACCGCAUGGUUCAAUAGUGAAAGACGGUUUUGCUGUCACUUCUAGAUGGAUCCGCGCCGCAUUAGCUAGUUGGUAAGGUAACGGCUUACCAAGGCAACGAUGCGUGGCCGACCUGAGAGGCGGAUCGGCCACACUGGAACCGAGACACCGUCCAGACUCCUGCGGGAGGCAGCAGUAGGGAAUCUUCCGCAAUGGGCGAAAGCCUUACGGAGCAACGCCGCGUGAGUUAUGAAGGUCUUCGGAUCGUAAAACUCUGUUAUUAGGGAAGAACAAAUGUGUAAGUAACUAUGCACGUCUUGACGGUACCUAAUCAGAAAGCCACGGCUAACUACGUG
rnacentral:rRNA from 1 species